rnacentral:rRNA from 1 species
CCAGGCGGCUCRCUUCACGGGCUUCCCUACGGGCACAGCGCWGGCUCGUAGCCUGCGCCACACCUAGYGAGCAUCGUUUACGGCUAGGACUACCCGGGUAUCUAAUCCGGUUCGAGACCCUAGCUUUCGUCCCUSACCGUCGGAUCCGUCUUCCYGAGGCGCUUUCGCCACCGGCGGUCCGUCCAGGAUUACRGGAUUUCACUCCUACCCCGGACGUACCCCUCRGGUCUUCCGGCCCCAAGCCAAAURGUUUCCGCCGGACGCCCACUCGUURAGCGAGUGGAUUUCCCGACGGACUURYNYGGCCRGCUACGGACGCUUUAGGCCCAAUAAUAUCGGYCAUCACUCGAGCUGCCGGUAUUACCGCGGCGGCUGGCACCGGUCUUGCCCAGCCCUUAUUCCUGWACCACCUUACGGUACAGAAAAGCGAGGACUGUAUGCCCUCRCACUCGRDGUCCCCUUAUCGCACUSUCGUGCAGUGUAAAGGUUUCGCGCCUGCUGCACCCCGU